GGGCCCGCACAAGCGGUGGAGCAUGUGGUUCAAUUCGACGCAACGCGAAGAACCUUACCCAGGCUUGAACUGCGAGCGACAAACUCCGAAAGGAGUCUCCCGCAAGGGCGCUCGUAGAGGUGCUGCAUGGCUGUCGUCAGCUCGUGUCGUGAGAUGUUGGGUUAAGUCCCGCAACGAGCGCAACCCUUGUUUGCUGUUGCCAUCAGGUAAAGCUGGGCACUCUGCAAAGACUGCCGGUGAUAAACCGGAGGAAGGUGGGGAUGACGUCAAGUCAGCAUGGCCUUUAUGUCUGGGGCUACACACGUGCUACAAUGGCCGAUACAAACCGUCGCGAGCCCGUAAGGGGGAGCUAAUCGGAGAAAGUCGGUCUCAGUUCGGAUAGCAGGCUGCAACUCGCCUGCUUGAAGUUGGAAUCGCUAGUAAUCGCGGAUCAGCACGCCGCGGUGAAUACGUUCCCGGGCCUU
rnacentral:rRNA from 1 species